AAAAAAAAAUGAUAAUAAACGGAUAAGUGGAUUUCUACUUACAGAGACUAUCUACUGUUACUUAGACUAUCCAAAAUAAUUCUGUUGACCGCGUUGUUAUUUUCUGCUGGUUAGAAGUGGUGUCAGGUUACCUUCUUUGAAGAGAAAAAGACAGCAUAGAUUCUGUCUCAAAACAAACAAACAAAUAAGGACUGAUAAGAAUACUGAUGUAAUUUUGAAAAGUAUGUAGUAGCCAAGGG
rnacentral:lncRNA from 10 species